rnacentral:rRNA from 1 species
AUUGAACGCUGGCGGCAUGCCUUACACAUGCAAGUCGAACGGCAGCACGGGUGCUUGCACCUGGUGGCGAGCGGCGAACGGGUGAGUAAUACAUCGGAACGUACCUUAUCGUGGGGGAUAACGCAGCGAAAGCUGUGCUAAUACCGCAUACGCCCUGAGGGGGAAAGCGGGGGAUCGCAAGACCUCGCGCGAUUAGAGCGGCCGAUGCCUGAUUAGCUUGUUGGUGGGGUAAAAGCCCACCAAGGCGACGAUCAGUAGCUGGUCUGAGAGGACGAUCAGCCACACUGGGACUGAGACACGGCCCAGACUCCUACGGGAGGCAGCAGUGGGGAAUUUUGGACAAUGGGGGCAACCCUGAUCCAGCAAUGCCGCGUGAGUGAAGAAGGCCUUCGGGUUGUAAAGCUCCUUUGUCAGGGAAGAAACGCCGGCUCUAACACAGUCCGGGAAUGACGGUACCUGAAGAAUAAGCACCGGCUAACUACGUGCCAGCCGCCGCUGUAA